UUUUCGCAAUGCCCGAAAGGGUGACGAAGCGACGCCGCGUGAGUGAGGAAGGCCUUCGGGUUGUAAAGCUCUGUCAGGAGUUAAGAAAUGUAAGUGUGCUAAUAUCACAUUUAUUUGACGAAAGCUCCAAAGGAAGCCACGGCUAACUCUGUGCCAGCAGCCGCGGUAAUACAGAGGUGGCAAGCGUUGUUCGGAAUUAUUGGGCGUAAAGAGCACGUAGGUGGGCUUGUAAGUCAGAUGUGAAAGCCUUCUGUUCAACGGAAGAAUUGCAUCUGAAACUGCGAAUCUUGAGUGUAGGAGGGGAGAAUGGAACUCCUGGUGGAGCGGUGAAAUGCGUAGAUAUCAGAAGGAACGCCGGCGGCGAAAGCGAUUCUCUGGCCUAUUACUGACACUCAGUGUGCGAAAGCUAGGGGAGCAAACGGGAUUAGAUACCCCGGUAGUCCUAGCCGUAAACGAUGGGCACUAAGUAGAGGGGUUUUAA
rnacentral:rRNA from 1 species